GUACCGGUAGCACGUACUCACUUCUUUACCUUCGCCGCGGCGGGCCUCGGACUUGCAGCACGUGCACACCUAGAGGAAGACCCGACAGUCAAUCUGGUUGUUUCCGUUGCUGUGCUCAGGGCAUUGUAGUUUGGGUAAUGCUGUCCUUUGUUUCAUUUUCUUUCUCUUGUUUAACAUCAGGAAGCAGCAAUGAAGUGUUACUAAAAGAUCCCUAAAAAAAAAAAAAUCCCUAAAGCUGGAGUUGAAAUUUGCGCUUUGUAACAAAUCAGCUGUGGGGUAUUGGGCAAGUCAGUUAAUCUUCCGUUAGGACCUACUGGUCUGUGAAAACUGGGUGACAUUUGAGACUCAGCCUGUCUCUUCGCGCUGCUGGGAGGACUGUUUGCAAACUGUUGGUGCCCACAGCCCUCCAGGUCCCCGUAGGACAGCCAAGCUGCCUCCUAAGCGUAGUGCCCCAGAGAACCAAAUGAUCCAGCUGAGCACUGGUCCAGCAUCGUCGAAUGAAGUGAAAGAAAGGAACUGGAAAUGGGACAGCAUUUGGGGGGUCAGCUGGAAGGAGAAGUGGGGAAAGGGAAGUUUUGUUGGGUUUUCCCCUCUACCAGCAAUUCCUGAUAAUUCUCUACCUGAAUAUCAUCCCAUCUGACCCCUUUUCUCCAUCCCUACUGUCAUUCACAGAUCAAGAUCAUCUCUUGCUUAAAUGAUUUCUCCAUCUCCAGUUCCCACCCCACCACUUGUGGGAUUAUUCUAAAGUGCAAAUGUGAUCAUUAAAAUGUGUCAUGACUUCCCUGUGCCCCUAAAAUAAGGAAACUCACAUGUCCCUGCUAAACCACAUUGCAGGAGUGACAACCCUUUUUGCCCGUCAACCCUCACUCCUUAUUCCAACGAUCACAGAGAAUAGAUCAGCAAGCUCAACAGCAGAUAUCCAGCCACCGACUGAGAUGCAGUCUCUCCUUGCCAACCCAUCAAUUUCUAUGAGUGGUUCCCUCGGAGACCCCUCGCUCGGGGGAGUGUGCCUACACUGGUGAAGGCCCAUGGUAUUAUCAUUAUUUCAGCCUGACAACCCCACCACAUGCGAUCACGUAAGCUCCCCCAAAUUUCACCUCUGAUUUAUCGUUGUUUCUUCCAUACAUUCUGGCUUAGUGUCUUUUGCAAAAUAGAUGCUCAAAUGUUUGGGGAUGAACAAAUAAAUGAAUUAAUGAAAGAACAAAUGAACAAACUUCAAAGGCUGGGAGAAUAUUGAUUUAGGGUGAUCAGAAUGUAGCAGCUUCCAACAGUGAAGACUUCUGCACAAAGGCCUGAAAGGAGUGGGCUUAAAGAACAGAAAGGGAGGGCUUCCCUGGUGGCGCA